GGACGUCAUAGCAUAAAUGACAGAAGGAUUUAGCUGACAGAAGGAUUUAGCGGAGCUGAUCUCCAAGCUUUUCUCUCAGAUGCACAGCUCGCUGCGGUUCAUGAACAUUUGAGCAGCGCGAAUAUCAAUGAGCCUGGCAAAAUGUUGGUCAUAACUAAUACUAUUCUGAAGUCAAGGCAAGACCGUCAGAUUCAGAAGCUGAAAAUAGAGACUGUAUGGGAUCUGCAAUCAGUUUCUGGAUUCGAAGUGAUCUGCCUCCGCAUAGCACCUUGCCUCCGGUUUAUAUAUACUUCUAAUUGGUGGGAAGAGGACGUUGAGUUGAAGGUAUCUUCUGCAUGGCGUAGUUUGAAUAGUCGAAUAACAGCUAAACACAAUGAUACAUAUCGCACAUAAAUGGCGAAACUCGAUGAUGCACAUAACAAAUUUUCCUUGUGCAAGUGGUUGUGAUUUGAAUUUAAAUAUCAUAAUAAAUCAUGUAAAUGCACUACUCUAACCAUGUGUAUGUUAUGUGUCAACUACAAUGGAGAUAACUUGAGAUAGAUUCAAAUAA